UCGAGAAUCUUUCGCAAUGGGGGCAACCCUGACGACGCGACGCCGCGUGGAGGAUGAAGGUCUUCGGAUUGUAAACUCCUGUCAGCUGGGAGGAAUGGGUGACUGGUUAAUAACCAGUUGCCGUGACAGUACCAGCAAAGGAAGCCACGGCUAACUCUGUGCCAGCAGCCGCGGUAAUACAGAGGUGGCAAGCGUUGUUCGGAUUUAUUGGGCGUAAAGGGUCCGUAGGCGGCUUAGAAAGUCGGAUGUGAAAUCCCACAGCUUAACUGUGGAACUGCAUUCGAAACUUCUAAGCUCGAGUGUGAGAGGGGUAAAGGGAAUUCCCGGUGUAAGAGUGAAAUCUGUAGAGAUCGGGAGGAACACCAGUCGCGAAGGCGCUUUACUGGCUCACUACUGACGCUGAGGGACGAAAGCCAGGGGAGCAAACG
rnacentral:rRNA from 1 species